rnacentral:tRNA from 1 species
GGCAGUGUGGUAUAGUGGUUAGCACACCAGACUAAGAUUUGGGAGACACAGGUUUAAAUCCCAGCUCUGCCA